UGCAGUUUGAUUAAAGGAUUGAAUUGCAUGGUAACUUGCCACUGAAGGGUAUUUUUGGUAUUUCCACCAAAUUCCAUAUUUUUGGGUAGACAUGACACGUUGCUAGACGUCAAUCUUGUCUUAUAGGUUUGAUCGAAUUAAAGAGUUUAAUUCGAUCACCAAUUAGAAAGGAUUCUAAUUGUUAAGUUCGGAUUCGCGCAGUUUGGACUUAAAUCGAUUAGAAGAGUUCUAAUCAAGUUGGGUCAACUCGCACUCACACCUAUUACUGGCUAAGUAUGGAACCCAAUGGGUUACACACAAGAAAACUUAUUAAGGGUCUAAUUGGAUUAGAUCAUGUUUGCAAGAUAGACAUCCUAGCAGGUUCUGCAAACCCUUAGCUCUUGAUUCGAAUUGGAUUCGAAUCUGAUUCUUAAUUGAUCUAAUUUGAUUAGAUCAUGUUCUAAUAUGGGUUAGCCAAGAGUUGGCAUCUAAUUGGCUUGGUUUGAGUCUAAUUGGAUUAGAUUUAAUAAAUCAUUCAAUCUAGACCGUUAGAUCUUGAUCUACCAUUGGAUGAAGACAUAAUGGAGAGUUGGUUUAACCCAAUUGAAUUGGGUUAGAGGAUGACUAUCAUAAUUGACCAUUGGAUCUUAAUCCCACCAUUGGAUGAAGACAUAAUGGGUCAAGUGAAUGGCGCCUUGCAUUGGAGCCCUUAGAUCAUCAUCAUGAAAGAUCAAGAGGUGAGGCGUGAUGGACAUGU
rnacentral:lncRNA from 1 species